rnacentral:rRNA from 1 species
UCGUGAAGAGGGAAACAACCCAGACCGCCAGCUAAGGUCCCAAAGUCAUGGUUAAGUGGGAAACGAUGUGGGAAGGCCCAGACAGCCAGGAUGUUGGCUUAGAAGCAGCCAUCAUUUAAAGAAAGCGUAAUAGCUCACUGGUCGAGUCGGCCUGCGCGGAAGAUGUAACGGGGCUAAACCAUGCACCGAAGCUGCGGCAGCGACACUAUGUGUUGUUGGGUAGGGGAGCGUUCUGUAAGCCUGUGAAGGUGGCCUGUGAGGGUUGCUGGAGGUAUCAGAAGUGCGAAUGCUGACAUAAGUAACGAUAAAGCGGGUGAAAAGCCCGCUCGCCGGAAGACCAAGGGUUCCUGUCCAACGUUAAUCGGGGCAGGGUGAGUCGACCCCUAAGGCGAGGCCGAAAGGCGUAGUCGAUGGGAAACAGGUUAAUAUUCCUGUACUUGGUGUUACUGCGAAGGGGGGACGGAGAAGGCUAUGUUGGCCGGGCGACGGUUGUCCCGGUUUAAGCGUGUAGGCUGGUUUUCCAGGCAAAUCCGGAAAACCAAGGCUGAGGCGUGAUGACGAGGCACUACGGUGCUGAAGCGACAAAUGCCCUGCUUCCAGGAAAAGCCUCUAAGCAUCAGGUAACAUCAAAUCGUACCCCAAACCGACACAGGUGGUCAGGUAGAGAAUACCAAGGCGCUUGAGAGAACUCGGGUGAAGGAACUAGGCAAAAUGGUGCCGUAACUUCGGGAGAAGGCACGCUGAUAUGUAGGUGAAGCGACUUGCUCGUGGAGCUGAAAUCAGUCGAAGAUACCAGCUGGCUGCAACUGUUUAUUAAAAACACAGCACUGUGCAAACACGAAAGUGGACGUAUACGGUGUGACGCCUGCCCGGUGCCGGAAGGUUAAUUGAUGGGGUUAGCGGUAACGCGAAGCUCUUGAUCGAAGCCCCGGUAAACGGCGGCCGUAACUAUAACGGUCCUAAGGUAGCGAAAUUCCUUGUCGGGUAAGUUCCGACCUGCACGAAUGGCGUAAUGAUGGCCAGGCUGUCUCCACCCGAGACUCAGUGAAAUUGAACUCGCUGUGAAGAUGCAGUGUACCCGCGGCAAGACGGAAAGACCCCGUGAACCUUUACUAUAGCUUGACACUGAACAUUGAGCCUUGAUGUGUAGGAUAGGUGGGAGGCUUUGAAGUGUGGACGCCAGUCUGCAUGGAGCCGACCUUGAAAUACCACCCUUUAAUGUUUGAUGUUCUAACGUUGGCCCGUAAUCCGGGUUGCGGACAGUGUCUGGUGGGUAGUUUGACUGGGGCGGUCUCCUCCUAAAGAGUAACGGAGGAGCACGAAGGUUGGCUAAUCCUGGUCGGACAUCAGGAGGUUAGUGCAAUGGCAUAAGCCAGCUUGACUGCGAGCGUGACGGCGCGAGCAGGUGCGAAAGCAGGUCAUAGUGAUCCGGUGGUUCUGAAUGGAAGGGCCAUCGCUCAACGGAUAAAAGGUACUCCGGGGAUAACAGGCUGAUACCGCCCAAGAGUUCAUAUCGACGGCGGUGUUUGGCACCUCGAUGUCGGCUCAUCACAUCCUGGGGCUGAAGUAGGUCCCAAGGGUAUGGCUGUUCGCCAUUUAAAGUGGUACGCGAGCUGGGUUUAGAACGUCGUGAGACAGUUCGGUCCCUAUCUGCCGUGGGCGCUGGAGAACUGAGGGGGGCUGCUCCUAGUACGAGAGGACCGGAGUGGACGCAUCACUGGUGUUCGGGUUGUCAUGCCAAUGGCACUGCCCGGUAGCUAAAUGCGGAAGAGAUAAGUGCUGAAAGCAUCUAAGCACGAAACUUGCCCCGAGAUGAGUUCUCCCUGAGACUUAGAGUCUCCUGAAGGAACGUUGAAGACGACGACGUUGAUAGGCCGGGUGUGUAAGCGCAGCGAUGCGUUGAGCUAACCGGUACUAAUGAACCGUGAGGCUUAACCUU